rnacentral:lncRNA from 10 species
AUGCACUUCCAUGUUUAUUAUAACACUAUUCACAAUAGUCAAAAUAUGGAAUCAACCUAAGUGCCCAUCAAUGAACAAAUGGAUGAAGAAAAUGUGGUAUAUACACAAUGGAAUACUAUUCAGUUAAAAAGAAUGAGAUCCCAUCAUUUAUUUAUUUAUUUAUUGGACAGGGUCUCACUCUGUCGCCCAGGCUGGAGUGCAGUGGUACAAUCUCGGCUCACUGCAACCUCUGCCUCCUUGGCUCAAGCAAUCCUCCCACCUCAGCCUCCCAAGUAGCUGGGACCAGAGACAUGAGUCACCACACCCAACUAAUUUUUGUAUUUUUUUAGUGACAGGUUUUCACCAUGUUUCCCACGCUGCUCUCAAACUCCUGGACUCAAGCAAUCCGUCUGCUUCGGCUUCCCAAAGUGCUGGGAUUACAGGUGUGAGCCACCGCACAUAGCCAAGAUCCUGUCAUUUAAAGAAACAUGGAUGAAACUGGAGGUCAUUAUGGCUAGCCAAGUAAAGCAGUGGGAGUGGAAAAGGAACAAAGAAAUCUAUAACUGCUUGUGAUCAAUUAGUUGUAAACACCGCUGCACGCACACCAGCCUGUGAUACUUGAUAUUUUUGAUGUCUCUUACAGAUCUUUAUAUAGAUCCUUCUCCUUCAAAAUUGUUGAAACCAUAAAAAGCAUCAGAAUGAAAUAGAGAGGACUGAGAAGAGAGAGAGAGAGAGAGACCAAGACGAGGGAACGAGCAGUCGAUGGAGCAGUCAGAACACAGAAACAACAUUUAUUAAGUUUGUCAUGCUCUAUGGGUGAAGUUCAUGGUGCCUCAAAGCAACUACAAUAGUAACAUCCAAGAUUGCUGAUCACAGAUUGCCAUGACAGACAGAAUAAUGAUGAAAAAGUUUGAAAGAUUGUGAGAAUUACCAAAAUGUGACACAGAGACAGGAAGGGAGCGCAUGCUGUUGAAAAAAAUGGCACUGAUAGACUUGCUUGACACAGGGUUGCCACAAAUCUUCAGUUUCUAAAAAACACAGUUGUCUGUGCAGCACAAUAAAGUGAAACGCAAUAAAACAACAUAUGCUGUAUUCCUAUAUCUCCACAAAAAUAAGGAUGUAUUCUCUCCUGAAGAUACAUUCAUCAGUGAAUUAAGGAAAAGACGACAGGGUGGGAGAAUGUAGCCAGUCUGUCCCAAGUCAUUAUUAUUUGUAAAAAAUUCACUUUCCUGGCCAGGCAUGGUGGCUCAUGCCUGUAAUCCCAGCACUUUGGGAGGCCGGAGUGGACAGAUCACUUGAGGUCAGGAGUUUGAGACCAGCCUGGCCAACAUGGUGAAACCCUUUCUCUACUAAAAAUACAAAAUGU